AAUUUGCAUUGUUCUAUAUAUGUUAUUUUGAUAUUCUAUAUAUUUGUUUUUAUUGCAUUGCACAUGUUCAAUGAAAUCCCUUUUAGACUUAAUUAGUGAUGAUUGGAUUCAAUUUUUCCCGCCCUCAUACCAUGAUAAAUCUAAAUGAUUUAUUCAUUUAUGAACAAUGAAUUUGAAUUAAAAAUUUCGAGGAUGAAGUCUAGAAGAUAUCAACAUGGUGGAAAAAAUGAAUUAUGAAACAAAUGUGAGGCAAUUGGUAGUAUUACAUAGCAUGUACAUAUUUUUUUUCAUGGCUAUGCAAUUGAUUGGGAGGCUCUUAAACACUACCCCACAGCCCCACUACCAAAUACACAUCUAUAUCCUGGAAUCCAUGGGCCCUAACUUUGAUAAUGACCCAUGUAAAAUUUGGAUGACAAAGAAAAGAAUUUGAGUGAAUGGAAUUAUUGAAAUUUAAACUUUAGCACAAAAUCAGAGUAAAAGAAUGCUAUUAGUCUUAUUUUAUUGGUUCCUUCUUGAUGAGAAGCAAAUGUAGAAGCCAUAGAAAUAGUUUCAUUCUUGGUCUACACCAUUGAGAGGUCAGAAAAAUCUUAAGCAACUUGGAGUCAACAAGCCUAUAGCUCUUGCUUUUAUGCUCUUUGCUUUCAUGUGGAGGGUGGCACUGACAAAUUGUUACUUUCUAAUUGGAAGAGUUAAGAGUUCCAAUAUGGAAUAUAGCACUAAUGCAGAAGAUUAACCUCAAGUCAAACAGUGGACCUGUCAAGGUGAAUGGUGAUGUUUCAAUUCAUCCAACUGAAAUAGAGCUGGCACUUCAGUGCAUCAUGGCUAGAAUAUGGCUAAUCUAACUAAAUUGUUUUUUGGUUAAAGAGAUCUUAGACUUAAUUUUCUGCUAUUGGGGAAUUUUAAACUUUUGGCAUUGUUAUUGAACCUAACUCUAUAUUACACAAUUGUCAUUUUUGUUUUUUUGAAGUGAUUGACAUUAACAAGCCUUUAUUAAAAAUAUUAACUAUUGUACAUCAUGUUGAGUGCCUUAAAUAUUGUUAGAAGCUUUUGGAACUUCAAAAAAAGAUGGGAACAUGUUUAUAGGCUUUAAUAUUUUCACCCAAUAUACGGUCAAGAGUGUAAAAAGUAUACUUACAAGUAGAACAAAUGAUGGAUGUACUGCAUUACCCAAAUGAAUUUCAAUGAA